rnacentral:rRNA from 1 species
AUUGAACGCUGGCGGCAGGCCUAACACAUGCAAGUCGAGCGAGCGGCGGACGGGUGAGUAAUGUCUGGGAAACUGCCUGAUGGAGGGGGAUAACUACUGGAAACGGUAGCUAAUACCGCAUACCAUCAGAUGGGCCCAUAUGGGAUUAGCCAGUAGGUGGGUUAACGGCUCACCUAGGCGACGAUCCCUCGCUGGUCUGAGAGUAUGACCAGCCACACUGGAACUGAGAAACGGUCCAGACUCCUACGGGAGGCAGCAGUGGGGAAUAUUGCACAAUGGGCGCAAGCCUGAUGCAGCCAUGCCGCGUGUGGGAGGAAGGCUUUCGGGUUGUAAAGCACUUUCAGCGGGGAGGCGUUACCCGCAGAAGAAGCACCGGCUAACUCCGUGCCAGCAGCCGCGGUAAUUC